rnacentral:rRNA from 1 species
AGCCCCGUACACAAAAAUGCACAUACUGUGAGCUCGAUGAGUAGGGCGGGACACGUGGUAUCCUGUCUGAAUAUGGGGGGACCAUCCUCCAAGGCUAAAUACUCCUGACUGACCGAUAGUGAACCAGUACCGUGAGGGAAAGGCGAAAAGAACCCCGGCGAGGGGAGUGAAAAAGAACCUGAAACCGUGUACGUACAAGCAGUGGGAGCACGCUUAGGCGUGUGACUGCGUACCUUUUGUAUAAUGGGUCAGCGACUUAUAUUCUGUAGCAAGGUUAACCGAAUAGGGGAGCCGAAGGGAAACCGAGUCUUAACUGGGCGUUAAGUUGCAGGGUAUAGACCCGAAACCCGGUGAUCUAGCCAUGGGCAGGUUGAAGGUUGGGUAACACUAACUGGAGGACCGAACCGACUAAUGUUGAAAAAUUAGCGGAUGACUUGUGGCUGGGGGUGAAAGGCCAAUCAAACCGGGAGAUAGCUGGUUCUCCCCGAAAGCUAUUUAGGUAGCGCCUCGUGAAUUCAUCUCCGGGGGUAGAGCACUGUUUCGGCAAGGGGGUCAUCCCGACUUACCAACCCGAUGCAAACUGCGAAUACCGGAGAAUGUUAUCACGGGAGACACACGGCGGGUGCUAACGUCCGUCGUGAAGAGGGAAACAACCCAGACCGCCAGCUAAGGUCCCAAAGUCAUGGUUAAGUGGGAAACGAUGUGGGAAGGCCCAGACAGCCAGGAUGUUGGCUUAGAAGCAGCCAUCAUUUAAAGAAAGCGUAAUAGCUCACUGGUCGAGUCGGCCUGCGCGGAAGAUGUAACGGGGCUAAACCAUG